CCCUUAGAUGUUCUGGGCCGCACGCGCGCUACACUGACGAAGUCAGCGAGCAUGUCCUACGCCGACAGGUGCGGGGAAUCUUGUCAAACUUCGUCGUGAUGGGGAUUGAUUAUUGAAAUUCUUGAUCAUCAACGAGGAAUUCCUAGUAAGCGCAAGUCAUCAGCUUGCAUUGAUUACGUCCCUGCCCUUUGUACACACCGCCCGUCGCACCUACCGAUUGAAUGGUCCGGUGAAAUCUUCGGAUUGAGACUUUGAUUUCUUCACGGAAAACGCUGUUUUAAAAAGUUGAUUAAACCUUACCAUUUAGAGGAAGGUGAAGUCGUAACA
rnacentral:rRNA from 1 species